rnacentral:rRNA from 1 species
CCUACGGGGGGCAGCAGUGGGGAAUAUUGGACAAUGGGCGAAAGCCUGAUCCAGCCAUGCCGCGUGUGUGAAGAAGGCCUUCGGGUUGUAAAGCACUUUCAGUGGGGAAGAAAGCCUUGGGGCGAAUACCCUCGAGGAAGGACAUCACCCACAGAAGAAGCACCGGCUAACUCCGUGCCAGCAGCCGCGGUAAUACGGAGGGUGCGAGCGUUAAUCGGAAUUACUGGGCGUAAAGCGCGCGUAGGCGGUCUGAUAAGCCGGUUGUGAAAGCCCCGGGCUCAACCUGGGAACGGCAUCCGGAACUGUCAGGCUAGAGUGCAGGAGAGGAAGGUAGAAUUCCCGGUGUAGCGGUGAAAUGCGUAGAGAUCGGGAGGAAUACCAGUGGCGAAGGCGGCCUUCUGGACUGACACUGACGCUGAGGUGCGAAAGCGUGGGUAGCAAACAGGAUUAGAUACCCCAGUAGUC